GGAGGUAUGGAACUAACAUAUGCUUCUGCUAAAGGAAGACAUUGAACACCACAUGCAAGGUAAAAUGUUUUACGUCUUUUGUAUAUGUUGAAUUCUGAAGAUAUGGAAAAUUCUUUACAUAGUUUAAAUUCUGCUAUAUGUGUAGUGAAAGCAGGUCGUUUUCUGGUAAAAAUACCAUUUUCUCCAACUGAGAACAAUUUGUUCUAAACAUCACUUCUGAGAUCUGCAAUGUCUUCAUGCACUGCAUCGCCUUUAUCAACACCUCAACAUGUAGCAGUGAUAGACUUUGUCGGAUGCUCACGGCCUGGUCUCCUGAAUCUAUUUUGUUGCAGAAUCAUCAUUGACUCGAUAAUCCAUCUUGGUCCUUCCAAACUCUAUCAAUAUAACAUUUCAUUAUAUCAACUGGAUAAUGAUCCCGUGGAAAGAACAAAAUAUCCUUUUGAAAUCUUGAACUUGUCACUUUGUAUUUGUAUCCUGGGGUGGAUCCACAGCUGAAGGGCCUAUGGCAGGAGUUUAACUCAAUAUGCCCUUGCUGGCCAAAAGUUAUGCUCGUUACCCCUGUCCAAUUCUCACUACCCCUCUCCUAUUGUUAUUCCAUCGUUGCCCUUUCCUUUUCUUCUUUUUCUUUUUUAUUUAUUUACCUUUUCUUGUGGCCACCACUUUCUUUUUUUUUUCUUUCAUACGGUCAACACUUCUUUGGGUCCCCUUAAUAAUAUAUUUUUCUUGCUUUUCUCUUUCAUGUAACCAAGAAUUUAUCUUUUUUUAUCAUAUUAUUUUUCCUACAAUUUUAUUUCUAUUUUGCAACAAAAAAUACAAAUAAAUUUUAAAUAUAUUUUAUAUUAAAUUUUCUACUGAUAUUUAAUAAUAUUUAUAAACAAUAAGAUAGUAGAAUAAAUUAUUUUGUUGUAUUUCAGUAUCAAUUAGUUUAAACAAAUAAAUCUAAUAAAUCAUUUACAUAGUUUUUUUUGUUUUUUUAUUACUACCACUAAUUAAUUUAAAAAUAUUCAAAUUUCGAAAAAAUCAUAGAUUUAUUUUCUAUUUAUAUUUAUUACUGAAUUAAUAAUUUUGUAAAUUUAUUUCUUUAUGAUAUUGUUUCCCUUCAACUUUAUUUCUAUUUCGCUACAAAAAAAAAUAAUAUAUUUCAUCUUAAAUUUUCUACUUAUAUUUAAUAAUAUUUAUAAACAAUAAAUUAGUAGAAUAAAUAAUUUUGUUGUAUUUCAGUCAUCAACUAGUUUAAACAAAUAAACCUAAUAAAACGUU
rnacentral:lncRNA from 1 species